rnacentral:other from 1 species
GUCCUGAGAUGUACGUGUAUCUCCUUCUUGUUUUUAACCAACAUUUUUUCUUCGGGAGCUCGAGUCAUUUUUCGGAAGAGAUGCCGCUUGUCGGACCUCUGAAAAAAAGUGUAGAGCACCCACCUGCACACUGCAGGUUGAAAACAAUGGAGACACGGCAUAAUGGGGCUU